rnacentral:piRNA from 1 species
AUGUUCUUUACUGGCUUGUUUC